UUGGCUUGGGUUAGGGUGUGGAUAUUCAAACAAAAACGGGAAACAAGUGGUUUUUUGGUUCAGAGUUGAUGUUGCCAACUAUGUUUGUUUCUUUUGUUUUUCCACUUGAUUUCCUCUUUUUUUUCUUCUAUUUUUCCUUUGAGUGCCCUAUUUCGUGCUUCUUUUGAAUCUUCGAGUUAUAACUUUAUCUUUUUUUCUUUUCUCUCGAUGAUUUCCUAUUUUUCUUUUUUUCGUUUUGUUUUCACACUUUCUUGGGCUUUGGGAGCUCUUGGGGUUUUUACACCAAACUUAGCUUUUCAACACAGUUUAAAUGUAUUAACAUGACUCUGAAAAGGGUAAGGAAGUGUUUUGGCCAAGGGGUACAUUUAUGGGGUUUAAAAAAGUAAAUGGAUACAGGCUCAAAUGGGGUUAACAAGGGAUAUAAUUAUUUAGGAUGGCUAGAAAGGCUUGGGGUUAAUUUCAAACAAUGUGCCUCAGUGUGUGUAAUCAUGCAGUGACAGUUCCAGAGAAUCUACGCAAAUUUAGAGUGAUAAAGACAAACCUGAAUAUCGCUCAUGAUGAUCAAUGUGUUUGGCUUUAUAUGACUCACCCUAUUUGGUUAAGCUUUGACCGUAUCCACAGUAGUCUUUAGCCCGGUGUGAUUUCUUCCUUACUUCAGAAUCUACAUGACACUUAUGUUG
rnacentral:lncRNA from 1 species